CUCCAGCCUGGCCACAGAGCGAGACUCCAUCUCAAAAAAAAAAAAAAAAAAGACAUUUGCCCAAGGGUCAUAGCUGUAGGGGGGCAGAUGUGGUUUGAACCCAGGGCGUCUGGUUCCUCUCUGGAAGCAACCAAAGUGCCUGUGAUUGGGGUAGUGACAAAGCACUCUGAGCCGCUGCAUGGCAGAUGCUGUGAAGAGUCAUCUUUGCCUGUCCCAUAUCUAUUCCCAUUUUUUCUGAUUGCAACACCUUGUUUUUUUGUGUGUGGUGAGGGAACCAUGCCCUUUCAACCAAGCUAUGUGGUGUUCAUAAGGGUAGCCCCUCCUCCGACCCCAGGAGUGGCAGUUCACAGCCCUGACUGAUCACAGUGUUCCGUGGCCUAGCCGUAACCAACCCAGGGAGUGAGACUGAACUCAGGGGUUCAUUGGACCUGUCAGGAAAGAGAGACCUUUCUUGUUUCUGGACUUGGAGCUGUGAUGGAAGUAAGUGCGUCAGGGGCCAACACAUAGCGUUGGCCUACAAAUGCAGCCCAGGCAGAGGAUGGUGCGGCCAAGCCACACAGAGAGACAACUUCCUAGUGACACGCUGUGAACACCUGCAUCCACCCCUGCCUGAACUGGAGCUUUUCCUCUUCAGCUCUUCAGUUAUGUGAGGCAAGAUGUUGCCUUUUUUGCUUAAUGCUGUGAGUUGAGUGUACAGCAGUUACAAUCAAAGAAUCCUAAAUAAUGCUGCAAGCAUGGUAACUAUCUACAUGGGAAUAUGCAGUACUCCAGUGAAAACAAAACAUAAGUUAAUUUUGGAAUCUGAUGACCAUAAUCUAAAAACAUUCAUAGAGGUAUAUAAAAAUUAUAACAAAAUUUAAAGUAGCAUAUCUCCUCAUGAAGCAGGUUAAGUGUAUACACAAAGAAGGAGGAGGAAAAGGCGAGAAAGAAUCUGCCCUUGUGGGGAAGUGACAGAGGCAGAAGAGGCUGAUGCAGUCCUGCAUCCAGGCCCAGCUCUGCCAGCAGCUGAGUACCCCUGAACAAGCUCCCCCACCUCUUCGGGCCUCACUUUCCCCAUCUAUGAAAGAAAGGGAGUCUGGCUUCCAUAGCUGCCCCAGCUGAUACACAAGGUGCCAGCGUGUCCUCAGUCCUGUCACGAGAAACCUUUCCCCUAGAAUCCCAGGAUGAGCUUGAAAUCCUGUCUGGGAUCCCGACGGCCCAGGUGCUGACCCUGCCUCGGGUUGUGUCUGCUGAGAAGUCUGAUUUCUGCUUAUCUCUCCCCAUUUAUUUCUUCCCAUAAAGUGGGCUGAUGCGCUGGAACGUCAAUGCAGCCAGUGAUGUGUUUGAUGAGAAUGUAUUGAGUAAAGCUGCCCAGAAUCCAAGUGUGUGUCAUCUGAACUCUUGAAUCAUGGAUGGAAGGUAUGUCCUCUGUUGAUGUCUCGCAGCCUGAGCUGACAAUCUGUAAGAAGGUUUUGUUAUCUUCAUGUUACAGAUGGUGAACCGAAACUUACAGAGCUCAAGUCACUUGACCGGGCUCCACCCCUACAAGAGGCAGCAUGCAAACUAAAACCCAGGCGGCCUUUUCCAAAGCUUGUGCUCUGCUCCACUGCGGGAAGGAACCCUUCGGGGAACUGAAGCAGCACUGAACAAAGGCCAUUUUUAAGAAGCGACAGCAGAAACCUAAGGCGGGGUCCCCGGCUCAACAAGGAUCUCAUGUUUUGUGGGUCAGAGAUUCUUGUGUCGUGUCUGGGUGAGGUCAAAAACCAUGCAGAGACUUUCACUUCCUGUUCUGUGGCAGACAAGACAUCUGAAAAGCUCUCCUGCAGCAACACUUCUAGAUGCCAACUCUUGCUGUUGUACUCUUUUGUGGUCUACACUGCGUUUAUGGGCUGUAACUAGUCGUCACAAAGGCCUGCGGUUUUCACUUUCUGCCUCAGCCAGCAAGACUGCAAACCCACCACAAAGAAAAACUUAAGAACCG
rnacentral:lncRNA from 1 species